ACUGGGUGUGGUGUUGAACACCUGUAAUCCCAGCAAUUCAGGAGGCUGAGGCAGGAGGAUCUCUAGUUCAAAGCCAGCCUCAGCAACUUAGCGAGACCCUGCCUCUA
rnacentral:sRNA from 1 species